GACAGAGGGUGCAAACGUUGUUCGGAAUUACUGGGCGUAAAGCGCGUGUAGGCUGCUCCGCAAGUCGGAUGUGAAAGCCCCGGGCUCAACCUGGGAAUUGCAUUUGAGACUGCUCUGCUCGGGUGCGGAAGAGGGAAGCGGAAUUUCCGGUGUAGCGGUGAAAUGCGUAGAUAUCGGAAGGAACACCAGUGGCGAAAGCGGCUUCCUGGUCCGACACCGACGUUCAGGCACGAAAGCGUGGGGAGCAAACAGG
rnacentral:rRNA from 1 species